rnacentral:lncRNA from 1 species
CCCAAAUUGGGGGGGGGGGGGGGGGGGGGGGGCGGGGGAGGAGGAGCCCCCCCCCACGGCCAGAGACCCCCCCCGGUGAGGAGGGGCCGCCCCACCUCACCCUCUGAUUGGCCGACUGACGCCUGUGAUUGACAGCUCGGAUUGACCCCUAACACCGGCUCGGAUGAUUGACAGCCCCGGCUGAUUGACAGCUCCACCUGAUUGACAGCUCCACCUGAUUGACAG